rnacentral:rRNA from 1 species
CCUGAAGUGGGGGAUAACCAUUGGAAACGAUGGCUAAUACCGCAUAACACCUACGGGUCAAAGAGGGGGACCUUCGGGCCUCUCGCGUCAGGAUAUGCCUAGGUGGGAUUAGCUAGUUGGUGAGGUAAUGGCUCACCAAGGCGACGAUCCCUAGCUGGUCUGAGAGGAUGAUCAGCCACACUGGAACUGAGACACGGUCCAGACUCCUACGGGAGGCAGCAGUGGGGAAUAUUGCACAAUGGGCGCAAGCCUGAUGCAGCCAUGCCGCGUGUGUGAAGAAGGCCUUCGGGUUGUAAAGCACUUUCAGUCGUGAGGAAGGUAGUGUAGUUAAUAGCUGCAUUAUUUGACGUUAGCGACAGAAGAAGCACCGGCUAACUCCGUGCCAGCAGCCGCGGUAAUACGGAGGGUGCGAGCGUUAAUCGGAAUUACUGGGCGUAAAGCGCAUGCAGGUGGUUUGUUAAGUCAGAUGUGAAAGCCCGGGGCUCAACCUCGGAAUAGCAUUUGAAACUGGCAGACUAGAGUACUGUAGAGGGGGGUAGAAUUUCAGGUGUAGCGGUGAAAUGCGUAGAGAUCUGAAGGAAUACCGGUGGCGAAGGCGGCCCCCUGGACAGAUACUGACACUCAGAUGCGAAAGCGUGGGGAGCAAACAGGAUUAGAUACCCUGGUAGUCCACGCCGUAAACGAUGUCUACUUGGAGGUUGUGGCCUUGAGCCGUGGCUUUCGGAGCUAACGCGUUAAGUAGACCGCCUGGGGAGUACGGUCGCAAGAUUAAAACUCAAAUGAAUUGACGGGGGCCCGCACAAGCGGUGGAGCAUGUGGUUUAAUUCGAUGCAACGCGAAGAACCUUACCUACUCUUGACAUCCAGAGAACUUUCCAGAGAUGGAUUGGUGCCUUCGGGAACUCUGAGACAGGUGCUGCAUGGCUGUCGUCAGCUCGUGUUGUGAAAUGUUGGGUUAAGUCCCGCAACGAGCGCAACCCUUAUCCUUGUUUGCCAGCACUUCGGGUGGGAACUCCAGGGAGACUGCCGGUGAUAAACCGGAGGAAGGUGGGGACGACGU